ensembl:lncRNA
CAUUUUUAAGUUGCAUUAAACAAUAGGUGUUUUGGUUUUUUGUCUUAUUCACAUGACAAGAUGUCUGGAGUCAGGCAGAUUCUGGCCCUUAUUCUUUCUAGCUCAGUAUCACCACAGUUCUUUUGCUUUUCCCCUCUUGCUUGCCACCCCAUGGUCACAAGAUGGCUGCCCUAGCUCCAGGCAUCUCACCCACAUUCAAAGCAGGAAGAACAGGUAUCAGGAAGCUCCAGUCAUGGCUGACUCUUUACUAGGAAAGCAAAAGCUUUACUAGAAGUCCCUCACCAGACUUCCUUAACUCUUCCACUGACCGAGUCAUAUGGAGAUUCCCAGACACAGGGGAGGCUGAAGACACUAGAAACAGAAUUUCAUGAUUGAUAUAGAAAAUUAUGAUUUGUGCUCCAAGGCUGGGCACUCAAACAAGCUUGGAAUUCUGUUAAUGAAGAAGGGGAAGGGAUCAAGUAUCUGUUACCCCCUUUAGACAGGACACAGUGCUUCCUACUUUGUCACAGUCACCUCACUCCUUUUAGAUUGCUUUACUCAGUUAAUCACCUGCCUAGCCCCUGUGAAGGCAUUUGACCUUUCAACACUUGGAUACAAGGCUCAGAGUCAGAAAGUGUGAAAAGAUUGCUAACUGUCUCCAUUAUCCAUUACUUCCCGCUUUCUUCUAGUAAUAAAAUAACUUUCUCCCCAAGAUAUAGCAGGGUAUAUGGCUGUCCAGGUCCAGAUCAUAGUUCAUGGUUACCGUUGCCAUGGUAGCUAGCUGGGUGUGACCAUGUAACUAAGUACUCACCACUGGAAAAUGUAUAGAUUGAUGUGAUCAUCACUUCUACAUCAUUUCCUAAAGUGAAAUUGUUAGUCAUUUACUUCCUCUUUCCCUCACUUACCACAGGCUUGUAUAUAGAUGCUUCAGUGAUGUCCUUGGAGACGGCAGAGCAACAAGAUAGAAGGAACCUGUAUCCCCGAAUGACUACCUGGAGCAGAGCCCCUUACUCACCUCUGGACCCAUCCUGAAUCACCCGUAUGCUUAAAGGGAUAAAACAACAACAAAAAACAAAAUAAGAAAAACGAACAAAACCUGUAAAACAAGAGAUUCAAAAUAAAUUUACUCUAGCUGGGGCAUGGUGGCUCAUGCCUGUAAUCCCAAUAAUUUGGGAAGUGGAGGCAGGAGGAUCACAUGAGCCCAAAUGUUCAAGACCAGCCUCCGCAACAUAGUGAGACCCUAAAGUAACUAGGCAUGGCGGCCCAUGCUAAUAGUCCCAGCUAAUAGUCCCAGUGGAGGCUGAGGUGGGAGAAUCACUUGAGUCUGGGAAGCUGAGGCUGCACUGAGACAUGAUCCAGGCAUGGUGGCGAGCACCUGUAAUCCUAGCUAGUCAGGAGGCUGAGGCAGGAGGAUUCCUCACACCCAGGAGUUUGAGGUUACAGUGAGCUGUGAUCACACCAUGGUACUCCAGCAUGGAAGACAGAAUGAGAUCCUCUCUCAGUAAUAAGUAAAUAAAUAAAUUUAUUCUGUAUUUUUGAGCCUCUUUACUAAAGCAGCUUAUUCUGUUCCUUAACUCAUAUAGGAAAGAAAAAACAAACUUCAUUAUGCCAUUGGUGUGUUGUUAAAAGUUAAAAAAGAAAAAAAAAAAA